GCCCGCUUAGCUCAGUGGUAGAGCGCGCCACUCGUAUGCAUAUUUCUUCAUAAGUAUCGAUGGUGAGGUCGGUUGUUCAAUCCAGCCAGUGGGCA